UCUGACUUAUGCAGACCAUAAUAACUGCUUCAUCUUAACCUAUUUUAGAACUUUUUACUGGAAAUAGAUCUGGGAUAUUGCAGGGAUCUGGCAUACCCCAGUAUACAGAAGUUCAGCCAACCAGCAUCACCACAUUGUGUUAUUCCCUUGCCUGGCAUGGUAGACCAUCAGUCUUGCUUUCUUGUGAAUCUGAAGUUAGAAAAACUGUUGAAAG